rnacentral:rRNA from 1 species
AACCAAGGGGUUAAGUUGUAUUUUUUGGUAAAAAGACAGUUAAACGUAAGUUAAAAUAGGUUAAGUUUAUCACACUAUAAAGAGGUAGAAUUCGUAUAUAGGUGACCACACUAAGCAUAGCCUACGUGUUGAAGCUGUGACAACUUUGAGGGAAACUAGGAUUAGAUACCCUAUUAUUCAUAGAAGUAAAUUAAAGAAAUUUUACCGGAGUACUAAGAAUAAAAAAUUUAAAACUCAAAGGGCUUGGCGGUGUUUUAGACUACUUAGGGGAACCUGUCUCAUAAUCGACAAUCCACGUUAGACCUAACCUUUCUUUGCAAUCAGUUUGUAUACCGUCGUCGUCAGGUAACUUUUAAGAUAUAAACAGUUAGCUAAUUAAAUACUUCAUAAAUUAAGACGUCAGAUCAAGGUGCAGCCAAUGAAAAGGAGUAGAUGGGUUACAAUUAUAAUAUUCAUAAUUACGGAUAAUAGUUUAAAUACAAUUAUAUAAGGAGGACUUAAAAGUAAAAUAGAUUAUAUAAAUAUUUUGAAUAAAGCUCUGAAACGUGC